rnacentral:rRNA from 1 species
UACGAAGGGGGCUAGCGUUGCUCGGAAUUACUGGGCGUAAAGGGCGCGUAGGCGGCUCUGUUAGUCAGGCGUGAAAUUCCUGGGCUCAACCUGGGGACUGCGCUUGAUACGGCGGGGCUUGAGGAUGGAAGAGGGUCGCGGAAUUCCCAGUGUAGAGGUGAAAUUCGUAGAUAUUGGGAAGACCACCGGUGGCGAAGGCGGCGACCUGGUCCAUUACUGACGCUGAGGCGCGACAGCGUGGGGAGCAAACAGG